GACGAACGCUGGCGGCGUGCUUAACACAUGCAAGUCGAACGGAAAGGCCCUGCUUUUGUGGGGUGCUCGAGUGGCGAACGCGUGAGUAUCACGCGAGUAAACUGCCCUUGACUUUGGGAUAACUCUAGGGAACUGCGGCUAUUACCGGAUAGGAGCUCCUGCUGCAUGGGGGGGGUUGGAAAGUUUCGGCGGUUGGGGAUGUACUCGCGGCUUAUCGGCUUGUUGGUGUGGUAGUGGCUUACCAAGGCUGUGACGGGUAGCCGGCCUUGGAGGGGGACCGGCGACAAUGGGACUGAGGGACGGCGCAGACGGCUACGUGAGGCAGCGGGGGAGAGUAUUACAGAGUGAGGGGGAGUCUGAUACAGCGGCGUCGGGUGCGGAAUGCCGUCCUAUGAGGGGUAAACCGCUGUGGACGGUGACGAAGCGUUAGUGACGGUAAUUAGUAAAAAAGCACCGGCUAACUACGUG
rnacentral:rRNA from 1 species